UACGGAGGAUGCGAGCGUUAUCCGGAUUUAUUGGGUUUAAAGGGUGCGUAGGCGGGAUGCCAAGUCAGCGGUAAAAAUGCGGUGCUCAACGCCGUCGAGCCGUUGAAACUGGCGUUCUUGAGUGGGCGGGAAGUAUGCGGAAUGCGUGGUGUAGCGGUGAAGUGCAUAGAUAUCACGCAGAACUCCGAUUGCGAAGGCAGCAUACCGGCGCCCUACUGACGCUGAGGCACGAAAGCGUGGGUAUCGAACAGG
rnacentral:rRNA from 1 species